rnacentral:misc_RNA from 1 species
CCUGUCCAGUUUCCUUUGCUCCAUUCCUCGUCAGACUUGGGCACAAAUCCUUUUAGGCACCUACAAGUUAGAUUUGGUUCAUAUCUUUGGCAAACCCCAAAAGGUCCACAAGCUCCAUAAACUUCACAGGGAGUAACAGGUGCCUCCCAUCUAGCAUACCAGCCCCUCACUUCCACCCAACACAAGAACCUUAAAACUCCUG